CGUAAAAAGUCUUCCAGUAAGGGCUUUCUUCUCUGACUUCCGCUUUUAGCCAUGAGCCAAACCGACCAGGUUGGUCCUGAGCUAGGCCCAUCUCUUCAUAGGGUAUUUCAGUGCAAUAAUUUGCAUAAUGACCAAUCGGACCACAUGAAUAACAAUAGUGAGGUAGCCUUUCAUAUUUAUAGUCAAUCCACCACUUCUUUUCCCCACAGUUUAUUAUGAUUCUUGUUUUGAGGGGAUGGGACAGAUUCAGCAUUACUCUUGCCUUUCCAAUUUUCCUAGAGUUAUUACCUCUCGCCUCGAUUUUUAUCUCCUCAACUCUCCCCAAUCUUGAGGCUAGAAGGCGUAUGGCUUCUUCAUUAACUCUAGCUUGAGGCAACCCUAUGAAGUGUACCCAGAACGCAUAAUGCGUAAAUUCAUAACAAUGCUCAGGUAUGUUUGUAUCACCCUCUCUAAGGACAAGAAGAUUACUAGUGAAUGACCAAGGUCCAGCUUCUAGCACCCUUCUUUUUUCUUCACUAGAUUGGAACAUAAACGAGAAAUAACCUAUUUCAAUUUGCUUACAUUUCACUGAAUUUGUUUUCCAUGCUCUUUUCAUAGUAUUGCAGAACGCCUGAAAAUUAACAUUGGGCUUUGAAUAUAGCUUGCCAUAGAGAGUUAACUCAUUUUGUUUUUUUUCUUCUUCUGGAUAUUAUCCCCUAGGUCUGUGAUGUCUUCUUCUGACCACAAGUCUCCCAUUCGCCUACACAACGCUGUUGAUCGAAGGUAAUUCACGUAUAGCUACUGAUAAACCACCAAAUGAGGCAAACAACAACGAAACAGAUGAUCCCAGCCACUAACAAUUUAUUUGCAACACAAUCGUUAGAUGGUCGUAGCUUGGAAGCCAAUGUAAGGAAAGAACCUAGUGGAGUGGAUGAAUCACAGCAAAGCUUCAAGUAUUCUUGGGUCAUCUAGCAAGAGGAAGGUUGAAAGGGGUGCCCCACCCAGCGACACUUUCAGAGAUGAGGAUUGGGAUGGUAUAGCAGAUUACCCAUCGACAUACUCAAACAUUCGGACCUUGAUCGCCAUCUAGAGAUGCAACAGAAGGAAGAAGGGGGUUUAAUCAGUUGGAAUAUGUCUGAAAUCAGCCAUGAAUGGCAGAUUUAGGGUUUGAGGAAGAGGCAAAAGGGGAACUGCUAUCUACGAGAGAUAGAGAGAAAAACCUCAAAAACGCGAGGGGGUAGCAAAUGAAGCAACCACACAGCUGUUGAUCAAGGCCCUUGAAAGAGCGUAAUAUUGUUUGCCAUCUGGGGCCUAUGGUGUAGCAUGAACAAUGAAGUGUCUCACAAUGGGACUGCAAAAAGCACUCCCACUUCCACCGACGUUGCAGCUUCUACAGCAGGGUGGCUCGCCUCUCGCAUCCCUCAACAUGAAGCAGACUAUCUCCUCCUCCUUCGAAGUCAAUGGGCUGAAGCUCCUCUUUGGGAGGUUCAAGCUAUAAUACUGACGGAUCUGGCGAUGGCAAUCCAGGAUGGGCAGGUGCGGAGGGAGUGAUCAGGGACUCCUGUGGCAGAUGGAUCUCUGAGUUUAGCAAACGAUAGGGACGGCAAUGUUGUUUUGACAUUCUAGGCAAUUCUCGAUGCUCUACCAUGAGCUAAGGGAUUGAAUUAUAUAUCUAAACCUCAUUAUUGAGUCGGAUGCUAGCGCUGAAGUUCAACUGUUGCAUCUUAGUACUCGAUUGAAGGGAAUUACUGGCGCAGAUGGAUUGAGUUUUCUUAAAACGUACUUCCCCAGAUGCAAAUUCUGGUGGCAGAGUGUCCUCCAGGAGAGAAUAUUGGCUACAUCUAGUGUUCCAACAUGAUAAAUAAGAAGCUACCUCAAAUCACGCCAGGUGUCCAACAUGGGUCCACGUUGUUAGACCAAUUUCUGAAGCCCCCGUUGUUAGGCCAAUUUUUGAAAUUUGUUUGACUCUUCCUCUUGACAGAGGAGAAAAUAUUGGCUACGUUUGGUACUUUAACAUAACAAAUAAGAAGGCACCUCAAAAAAUCGUGCCACGUGUCCAACA